rnacentral:tRNA from 19 species
GACUUAAAAAAUCCGUCGACUUUAGAAAUCGUGAGG